rnacentral:rRNA from 1 species
GACGAACGCUGGCGGCGUGCUUAACACAUGCAAGUCGAACGGGAAGGCCCUGCUUUUGUGGGGUGCUCGAGUGGCGAACGGGUGAGUAACACGUGAGUAACCUGCCCUUGACUUUGGGAUAACUUCAGGAAACUGGGGCUAAUACCGGAUAGGAGCUCCUGCUGCAUGGUGGGGGUUGGAAAGUUUCGGCGGUUGGGGAUGGACUCGCGGCUUAUCAGCUUGUUGGUGGGGUAGUGGCUUACCAAGGCUUUGACGGGUAGCCGGCCUGAGAGGGUGACCGGCCACAUUGGGACUGAGAUACGGCCCAGACUCCUACGGGAGGCAGCAGUGGGGAAUAUUGCACAAUGGGCGGAACCCUGAUGCAGCAACGCCGCGUGCGGGAUGACGGCCUUCGGGUUGUAAACCGCUUUCGCCUGUGACGAAGCGUGAGUGACGGUAAUGGGUAAAGAAGCACCGGCUAACUACGUG